GGGCCAGGGGGCCUUGCUUAUAUAGUCCUCCCCUUCUAUGCGUUUUUGGGUCGAUAGGCGAGGUGGUACUAUGUUUUUCUUGAUCCAAUAGGUCGGUGGAAUAUCCCGAGCGAAGGAGUCCUGAAUUGACUCCAGCAGGGGGGCGGGCGCCCAGGCUACCAGGGCGGGCGCCCUGGGCCUGGCCCAGCUUCGCCUCCGCUUCGGUCUCGUGGCUUCUGGAGUCUUCUAGAUGAUGUAAAAUUACGCGGUGCGUUGAUAUCUCUAUGUAAUCCCGACAUGUGGGCCUUUCUUCCUUAUUUCCUGAUAACCCCCUGCAGAAAUAGAUAAACAACAAAACUCGUGGAAUUUUGUCAGAUCAAACCCUAAUUCUAGGUGAUGGUUGCAUGUUGGUCCUUUCUCAUGUUUAUUUGAUAAUUAAAAUUGAUAAUUAAGAACCGUCAACAAAUACCCCCAUACUUAGGCUUUUACUCGUCCUCGAGAAAAGGAUGGUUAAGAAUAAUAUCUGGGGUAAACAUUUAAAACAUUCUCUUUAUAAUUGCAGGGUGUUAAAAAUUCCACUGUGUACCAUAGUCAGGGAUGUGUAUGGUUAAGUGUAAAGAUUCUUUCUUUUCAAUCCUGUCACUUGGAGUUUUUGUAUAUUUUUGAAAGAAAGUUAGCAUACCUUUUUGAUCCUCAUAGGUUCUCUCAGAUCACUCAUUAUCUUUUAUAUAUAUAUCUCACUGAGGCUGUUUUAUUUUGCAAAAAUUCUCAAGCAUACUUACUUUGGAUUUAUUGCCUGAUCAAAACGGGAUCUGAGGAGGGAAAUGUCAUACUCUUAGAUCAAAGACUUUGGAAAUUAAAAACUUUGUCAACUCUUGCUGGCAUAUUGCUUAUUAGAGGGACCAUGGGCUAUCAUUUUUUUUCUCUUUUUUUUAAGUGGAUACCGAGGUACCCCUAAUUCUACUGCCGGACACUUGUCCAUUUUUUCUGCGAGGUUGUCGAGCACUUGCUCCUUUUUAUUUCCUCGAAAUAUCUUCUAUUUUUGCAUAGCCCAUGCCUCUAAUGCAAUAAUACUUCGGAAGAGUGAAUCUUACUGAAAUAAUGUCUUGAUCUUAGGAGCAUGAUAAAUCUCUCAACAAGGGUCUAACUCAUUUUGAACAAACUCAAUACAGAGCAGAUAGCUUUUAUAAUCAUAUUUAAUAUUUCAGUUUUAUCAGGCAUAAAAAACACUGAGGAUGGUAGCUAGGAAUUUGAACAUUUUCAAAUAAAUUCUCCAAGCAACAAUGAUAUCAAGAAUAAGAAACUCAUACUCUACCAUCACAUAUUCCAUCUUGACUUAAGUAACACAGGGUUUUAAAAAAUGAUUUUAUACUAAUUGCAAGUUUUUAGGAAAUAUCACAGAUUGAGAUUAAUCAUGAUUAGAAAUAUUUUAAUCUUUUUAUUUUAUCAUGUCGGGAACAAUAUUCUGCAUAAUCUAAAAUAUAUAUAUGUGUAGAGUAAAGUGUGCAGAGUGUGUACCUGAAUCAUGGAGUGGUGUAGUCGAAGUGUGUUUUGCAUGUCGAGGGAUCUCCCCCAUACUUGUUUUCUGCUUUCUUGCACAAAAAUAAAGUAGAGACACACAAGACAUAAUAAUAAUACUCUUUAUUGAUCUUGAGGCAUUUAUUACACAAGGAAGAACAAAAUUAUUUUUGGCUAUUCUCUCCCGGAUUAGAAGUAGAAUAUUUUUGGGUGAUUCUGAAGAUGGAAAUGUAUGGAUAUAUGUGGAUGGUACUUCCGGAGUAGAAGUAACAUGUGUGAGUGAACGUGCAAGUGAAUCUUGAUUUAAUGACAAGCUCCUAAGGGUCUAAACAGCUUGACCACACUCAAUGCUCAUAAGCAAUAAGUAAAUGUGUGGCUCGAAGUCUAGCAAGCAUGUAUAUAUGGCUGUGGUAGGAAUUUAAACUCUCAUCAUACAGGAACUCAUCAUGCAACAUUUUAAAGAUUUCCAAAGAUAAAAUUCUCCAGAAUUCUAGCAUCUCUAGAAACAGACAAACAGCAGCUCAACCUUCCCAUAUCGUAU
rnacentral:lncRNA from 1 species